UACGUAGGGACCGAGCGUUGUCCGGAAUCAUUGGGCGUAAAGAGCGUGUAGGCGGCCAUUUAAGUCCUGCGUGAAAUCCUGCGGCUCAACCGCAGGCGGUCGUGGGAAACUGGAUGGCUAGAGUGCGGGAGAGGAGAGUGGAAUUCCUGGUGUAGCGGUGGAAUGCGCAGAUAUCAGGAAGAACACCCGUGGCGAAGGCGGCUCUCUGGAACGCAACUGACGCUGAGACGCGAAAAGCGUGGGGAGCAAACAGG
rnacentral:rRNA from 1 species